rnacentral:rRNA from 1 species
ACUCAAAUGAAUUGACGGGGGCCCGCACAAGCAGCGGAGCGUGUGGUUUAAUUCGACGCAACGCGAAGAACCUUACCAGGGUUUGACAUGGCCAGGCAAGCCGUAGAAAUACGGUCCUCCCGCAAGGGAUCUGGUCACAGAUGCUGCAUGGCUGUCGUCAGCUCGUGCCGUGAGGUGUUGGGUUAAGUCCCGCAACGAGCGCAACCCUCGGGGCUAGUUACCGUGUCUAGCCCGACUGCCGCGACAAACGCGGAGGAAGGUGGGGAUGACGUCAAGUCAGCACGGCUCUUACAUCCUGGGCGACACACACGCUACAAUGGACGCGACAACGGGCAUGCCAAGCCGCAAGGCGGAGCGAAUCCCAACAAAGGCGUCCUCAGUUCAGAUUGUAGUCUGCAACCCGACUACAUGAAGGCGGAGUUGCUAGUAACCGCGGGUCAGCACACCGCGGUGAAUACGUUCCCGGGCCUUGUACACACCGCCCGU